GAUGAUCGCUACACAUAUAUUGCUGAGACGGAUGCUACUACAGCCUCCGCAGCCAUGGCAGCUGCAGGUACGGGGACAGGUCAGUCUUUUUAGUAUCAGGACUUCGAUAACACAAAGCCCCCGACCUUCACCGGAGUACAAGACCCGAUCAUAGCCAGAGGUGGCUAACCGACAAAAUCAUUUUCUUGAUGCUUCUUGCAAUACUUUUGAAUGUUCUAGAUCGAAGUCCCUAUCUAGCACAUUGCAAUCGAAAUCUUAUAAAUUGUUUGAUGAACAUAAUAUUAACUACAAAAAUUAGGGCCUUUAAAGUUUUUUUUUCCAAAUUCUUUGUAAUGAUGAUUACUUUUGCAACUAGCGAAACAGUUACUUUAAGCUCAACACUUUCUUAAAAUAAUAAUAUUUUUAAAGUAGAGGAUUGGAGCUGAUGAUGUCAAUGCGCCAUAAUUGGUUUGAUUAGUUACUUUAUAAAUUUGACUUUUGUUAUUUUACAUAGAUAGUUAUAAAUGUUGGAUGAUGUGAAGUUUUUCCAUUGAGGUCAGAGAAAUUGUGGCUGAUUUAUGUUCUUUAAGCCUUGGAUAAAUGAUGAAGAGGGUAACAAAGAAGGUGAGGAAAUAUGAGAUUGGCCGAACAAUUGGUGAAGACACAUUUGCAAAGGUCAAGUUUGCAAGAUUUUGUUGUAAACACAAAAAAUAUAACAUGACCCAGGCAUAUAGAAGUCGAGGGUAAGCCUUUGAAUCCCGAAUAUAUGCUGAAAAUGUGGAAAGAGUUUUUCUGCAAGCAACUGGAGUUCUUUAUGUUAUAUUUCUGACAACAACAGGAAUCCGAAUUGAAGAAUCUUUAUGGUCCUUUCUGAAGUUCAAGAUUGGCGAUUAAGGUCCCUCGAUCUCCAUGUUAGCGUUUGGUGUGGUUCAGUCCUUAGUAGCUUUGAGUAUAACAAGGUUUGUAAUUAGUUGUUGGAUAGGGUUGGAAUGCAAUCAUGUGAGUAGGGGUGGAAUGGCUGGAAAGGAAUAGGGUGGAAUGGAACGGAAUCAUACGUGAAUAUGGUGGAAUACGAUACAAGUACAGUUGUAUCGAAUAUUGGAUGGCAUUAUAGGAUUCAUAUAGAGUACUUUAAAAAGCCCUACUCUAUUAGGCAAUGUAAUCUAAUACACCACACUACGACCUCUACCUAUGCAUAAUAUUCAUACUUUCAACCGCAUUAUAUUAACCUUUUUCUAUACCUAUGUAUAAUAUUUAUCUUUUCAGACGUAUUAGAUUAACCUUUUUCUGGUA